UACGUAGGUGACAAGCGUUGUCCGGAUUUACUGGGCGUAAAGGGUGCGUAGGUGGUGGGGUAAGUCGGAUGUGAAAUCUCCGAGCUCAACUCGGAAAUGGCAUUGGAAACUACCUUGCUCGAGGGUUGGAGGGGGGACUGGAAUACUUGGUGUAGCAGUGAAAUGCGUAGAUAUCAAGUGGAACACCAGUGGCGAAGGCGAGUCCCUGGACAACUCCUGACACUGAGGCACGAAAGCUAGGGGAGCAAACAGG
rnacentral:rRNA from 1 species